GUUUCUGUAGUGUAGUGGUUAUCAUGUCCACCUCACAUGCGGAGGGUCCCCAGUUCGAUCGUGGGUUGGAACU